rnacentral:rRNA from 1 species
GUGCCAGCAGCCGCGGUAAUACGAAGGGUGCAAGCGUUAAUCGGAAUUACUGGGCGUAAAGCGUGCGUAGGUGGUCUUUUAAGUCCGUUGUGAAAGCCCUGGGCUCAACCUGGGAAUGGCAGUGGAUACUGGAAGGCUGGAGUACGGUAGAGGAGGGUGGAAUUCCCGGUGUAGCGGUGAAAUGCGUAGAGAUCGGGAGGAACAUCAGUGGCGAAGGCGGCCCUCUGGACCAGUACUGACGCUGAGGCACGAAAGCGUGGGGAGCAAACAGGAUUAGAUACCCUGGUAGUCC